AUAUAUAUAUAUAUAUAUAUAUAUAUAUAUAUAUAUAUAUAUAUAUAUAUAUAUUGUUGUGAUUCUGUGCAAUUGCGUGCUACAUUUCUCAUCAUCUUUUCUUGUUGCAGGUCGUCUUUCCGUUAUUAUUUGUGUGCUGUGAACGAUUUUACAUUAUGUAAUUGAACUGUGACUUCUUGUUGGUGACUUUAUCAUCUGUGAACGAUAUUCCUGUUGUAGGGACGCUUUUGACAGACAAUGACAGCCCGCAUACUGCAGUAGUUUCUUGUGACAUGAAUUUACAAAGGAUCUUGUGAUUUUGGUAAAUCCCAGCACUACAUGAUGAAUCUCAGUGCCGAGGACACAAUCUUUGCCUGGAGGACAAUGUUUAUGGUAAGUAAAUCAAGAUUAUUUGUUACUGAUUCUCAGUAUAAUUAACUAAAUCUGUGGUAUGUGCAUCAGAUCAAAAGGAUAAGAGGGAGUUGGUACAAAAGUGAAUUAGUGUUCCAUACUAUUGUGUUUCUAAAUAUUUGAUCAGGAGAAGCUCAGUUGAAUUGUGGUCGUGGAUGCAAUAUCUCAGUUUGAUGUUUAUAUAUUUCUCUUCUUGCUACUAUGUUUUCUUAGGGAACUGUGAUCGCAAGGUUAUGAUCGGAUGGAUGUAUUACCAGCCUGAUCGAAUAUUAUAUUAUAUAAUUUAUUUAUUUUCUGUUA